ensembl:lncRNA
GAAAGUUGCUCUGAAGUGACAUUUGGUAUGGUAGCUUUGCAGUAUUUGAACAUACUGUAACUUUUGGACAGAGGCAUCUUGAAUAGUUUUUAAUGUAAAUGCAAAGAGUCCUCUGUGUGGAGCUCCUCUGAGGGCGGACGAUGUAAAAUGCUGAGUCACCCUUACUGAGCUGAAUCAAUGGAUAUACAAGCUAUUAUAUUUAAUCGUGUGCAUUGAAAUGAUGGAAUGCAGCUUAUUCCAGAAUAAAGGCUCCUUCAAAAGUGGAAAUGUUCUUGUCAGGUCACGCUACAGAUCCAUUCAGCUAUGCUUUUCUUCCUUGGAGAAAGUCCAGACUGCAGAAACCGACAUGUGCCCUGCGGAUAUGCAGAGAAAUGAAGAGCUGCCCUGCUUAAGUUCCCAAAAAAACCACAGGUGGUCUACAGAGACAAUCGUCUGGCUUUUGCAAAACCUGGUGAGUCUUUAUUGAGUUUGUAAAGCGGCAGGAGCACUGUGAAGGCCAUCGCACAACAAUUCAGUUUGUGAAAACACCUCCUGCUGCUUUGAUUAAAUUCCCAAAGAUCAGCUUGAUUACUGACCUUUCUGUUGACUAAUGUUCAUGACUUUGACAUCGCUGGACUUUGCGUCCUUUAAACUUUGUGGCAUUUGUAAAUGAUUUGGCACGUUUUAAAUGUUUGCUCAGGCCACUAGCUUAACAGACAUUGCCAGCUAACGACAGGCUGAUCUACCAUUGUUGUUCUAAUCCGACUAUAGAUCAAGAUCUUUACCUGGCUUAUGGAAAGCACAGCACUAAGAUUUGUAAGAAUAACAAUACAAGUGCUAGAAGCUAACUGCGUAAACCCUGAUAAGCUUUUGCUAGCAAUCUUGAAGCCACCUCAGAAAACAAUAACACAGACAUAAUUUAGGAAAGUGGUAUUGUUUUCUCUCUCUGGCUCGUUCCUGGAAUCACAUGGCAUCUUAAUCGCAUUAUUCAAGGUGCCAGGUCGAAUGUGACUGCCACUGUUCUACACUAGCAAGUGGCCCAGUUUAUAGCACUAAUCCUGCUCUAAUACUAGCACGACUGAUGUACUGUAACCUCUCACACACAUAAACUCCAUCAACCGCUGUGGCUCUUCAUUCAGAACACCACUGAAGGCUUCCAUUCAUCACAAAGUUAGUUAAAGCAUGUCACAAAAAUAAAAUAAAAAACUUUUAAUUUAAAGAGAUUCAUUCUGGAUCACUGCUACACUACAGUAAGCAGUGCCUAUCACGCCGUUCCAGGGCCUUCACUGGGUCACUCUGACCAUGGUUCAUCUGAUUCCUGCAUACAGGCAAAAAUUAAAGCUUUCCAAACAUGUUGUGAGGAUAUCAAAGCAGUGAACGAGAGAAGCUGUGGGGAAUCUGGAUGAGUAUACAGAGGCUGUGACAUCGUACAUAAGCUUCUGUGAAGACUCACCAGGGUGAGUUACAACAAUGACAAACCCUGGUUCACAGCCAGACUCAGACAGCUGAGGUUAGAGAAGGAGGCUGCAUUGGGAUAAAAUCAGGUUUAAAGAGUCAAAGUACAAGUUUAGCAAGGUGGUGAGAGAAGCUAAACAACUGUACUCUGAGAAACUACAACAGCAAUUCUCAGCUAAUGACUAUACACUUCUGUCUAGAAAGGACUCUGACAGAUCACAAACUGUAAACCUAAAGCACCCCACUUAGCUAACGACCAGCGACUGGCCAACAACCUGGAUGAGUUCUAUGCUGCAUUUCCACCGAAAUUACCUGGAAAAAUUUUACCAGGAACUUUUUCCCCCCAGAUCUGUUGCUUUCUGCGUUUCCACUGCAGUAUAAAGUACCGUGAAGAUUAGGCAAAUAGUCUGAUGAUGUAGCUCUGCGCACGUUUCUCAAUACAAAGUACACAAAUUUCGGACUUGCAUCCUCGGUAGUUCGGACUUUGCGAGUUGACUCGGGAGUGUGAUCUCCCGCGGAUGUGACGACGCAAGUCUGGUAAUUCUACAAACAGCAGCGUACUUGAUAACAUUAGUCAGCUCGCCUUGCCUACUGCAAUUUUCCUCACUGUAUAUUUACAAUAAGACGAAAUAUGAUAUCAAACACCACUGCCUCCUUUCGUUUUCAUUUAAGCAUAAUAAUAGCCGCAGAAAUGUAGUUCAGGGAAAUGUAGGCUAUAGGCUUAUAAUAGCCUACAUUACAAUGAAAUGAAAUAUUAUAUCAAACAGUAUUGCCUCUUUUUAUUUUCAUUUUAACAUAUUAAUAGAUGAAUUGAAUAAAGACCAAAGAUUACCUGUUAUAUUUACCCAAAACAAAUUAUAUUUUAUGUUUAGCCACUAAAGAGACAUCAGAGCCAGCGGCAAAUGUCAGAAGGACUAGCCGAGUCGAGACUGCUCUCGUCAGUAAACAUGAGCACUGAGCUCCCGCUGAUCGCCUGGAGCUGAUCAUCUCCGAAAUCGGCAGGUCAAGACCUCCACCAUCAUCCCUGUCCCCAAAAUACCCAGGAUCACAGGUCUAAAUGACAACAGACCUGUCACCUCUGUAUUAAUGAAGUCGUUUGAGCGCCUUGUGUUGUCCCACCUAAAAUCCAUCACAGACACUCUCCUGGACCCCCUGCAGUUUGCCAACAGGUCUGUAGAUGUGCAGUUAACAUGGCCCUUGUUGUGUUAUUUAUUCUGACUAAAGAAUAUAUAUAAACCCUCUAUUCACAUCUUUGUUUCCCACAAGCAGUUACAAUAUAUAAAUAUCAAUCUUACCUCUGGUAUUUAUCAGAUGCAAUAGAAGCUUCAAUACUUCUUCCCACCGGUGUCCAGAUCAGCUCAGCUGAGGUCAUUGCCGCUAUGGAACUCGUAAUGCAGGUUCAGGUAUAAAGUAAAAUAAUAGAUUUACUCUUAAUAAAUUACCCAGAGACUUGUUUAAAAGAAGUUUAACGCAUCACCAUAGGAAAUGGUUUCGCUUUAUUAAAACAAUAACUCAAAUAAGCAAAUAACAAUAAAAGUAAAUAGCGUAAAGUCUUCACCCCGAAUUACGGCCGUGAAUGUGUUCCAACCAUAACAUUUUAUAGUCACAAAAACAAUACGUCUCCCAUUUCCGAAUUCCACAUACCCGUACACAGGUUGAUAUGGAAACAGAAGCAUGACCCUUUAGCAACCUCACACUGGCAUAAGUUCAGAUGAAGUAAUUGCAGCAUCUUUUUCAUUAAAGCAAGUUAAUUUAUCUCUAUUUUUAAUCUAAACAAUUACUAUUAAAAUAAAUAUUUAUUUCUAAACUGCAUAGCAACAUUUCUUUUAAGAUAAGAUAAAACAUAUCACAAUACAAAACAUUAAGAAAGAAGGUCCAUUCUGCAACAUUAUUGCAAAAUGCACUUCCUUGCACAAUCAUGAUGUUAGCAAAAAGUAUACAUACUGUACGUGGCAGUCUUAAAGGGUUAGUUCCCAAAUAUGAAAACUGAAAAUAUGAAAAUUCUGUCAUUAAUUUUUCACCCUCAUGUCAUUUCAAACCCGUAAGACCUUUGUUCAUCUUCGGAACACAAAUUAAGAUUUUUGUCGAUGGAGUCUGGAGCUGUCUGAUCCUGCACAGACAGAAAUGCAACUGAAAUGUUCCCAAGUCCAGAAAUGUAGCAAGGAGAUCUGUGAAUUAAUCCAUGUGACAUUAGUGUUUCAUCCGAAAGUAUAUGAAGCUACGGGAAUACUUUUUGUGUGCAAAAAAAAUAAAAAUAACGACUUUAUUUAACAAUUUGUCUCCUCCGCAUCACCCUGGUGCCAUUUUAGAGAAUAUCUCAGAUUCGUCACGCCAGAACUGACCCAUCAGGGCUUUUUACUCACGCCCAUGGACAUUGCACUUGACAAAUAAAAAAUAAAAUAAAAUAAAAAAUAAACACCAUACACACACACACACGUGUUGCAUUAACACACACAACUCCGGCUGCUAUAUUCUCAUAUUCUCACAUCCCAGACUGUAAGUUUUGCACUGGCUCCUCGCUGCACAUUUUGCACAAUGUUCAGGAAUGGACAAUUUAAGUUUCAACUGUUAGCAUUUGCACUCCCCCCACUUUACAUAUUCUGCAUAAAUGUAGAGUUAAUGUUCAUGUUUAUUUCGUUUUUUAUAUUUUUAUCUUUCUGAUUUUUUUCCCUGCUGUUAUUGUAUAGCUUUUACUUGUCUUAUCUCAUUGUUUAUCUCAUUGUUCUAUUAUUUAUUCUUGUUUUUUUUUUUUCUUUUGUCUUUGUCAAGCACCAAUUUACCAAGACAAAUUCACCGUACAUGUAUACAUACAGUACUUGGUAAUAAACAUAAUUCUGAUUCUGAAAUAUACUGUGGAAGUCAACGGCUACCUGCAACUGUUUGGUUACACAUAUUCUUCAAAAUAUCUUCUUUUGUGUUCAGCAGAAGAAACAAAUUCAUACAGGUUUGGAACAACAUGAAGGUAAGUAAAUGAUGAUAAAGUUGUAAUUUUUUGGGUGAACUAUCCCUUUAAGACGUAUGCGCCAAGUUCUACGAUAUAUACUCUUUGGAGCCGUGCUAUGGUUUUGAAAAACAUAAAUUUAAAAUAAGUUUAAUGACUCUCGCAGUAAAAAGUAAUAUUUUUUCCUUACACAAUGAAUACAUGUGUACAUAACCAUUAUUUUCAAAAAUAUACUUAAAAAUUUUAAAUAUGCCUUAAUUUUGUAAUUAUCAUAAAUUAUUAAUGUAUCAUUAUCAUUGCUUUUUGGGGAGUUUUACAUCUCAUGACAUUUUACAGCCUGAGCCUUGUCAUAAAAAGAUCUGAUAUUUCAAGAAACUUACUGACCAUGACACACAAUCAUGAGAGUAUGCAAUGUCCAAUAAGGGAUAAAGGAAAUAAUAAUAAUAAUAACAAUAUGAUAAAUG